UGAAUUGCUUUUAUACUUUCAAGAGUUAUAGAUGGUCCUUGUAACCAUUGGGAACAAUUUAGAAGUUCUCACCGAGGAAAGACGGAAUCUUUUUCCAUCCUUCCUCAUCAAUCCCACUUCCUUUUUCCAGACAAAAACACUGUCAAAGCUUUUUCUUUGCAUUUACAAACAUUCAUUUAUAUCAACAAAAUAUUUUCAAAGCAAUAAGGUUGUUAUAUUUUAGGUACUAAUCUGUCUUGCUUUUUUCUACUUAAGAUAUAACACAUCUUGCUCUUUGUGUGUAAAAACAUAAGACCUCGUGCUCAGCUAUUCAUUAACCUACUUAUGCAUUCAUUAUAAACGUGCUCAAUACAUUUGCUUUUAAAACUGAACAGGGGAGAAUGCUGUAAAAUGAAGAAUAAAGUUGCCUUGAUCUGCAGACACUCUUUGCUCAUCCUACACCAGAGAUAAACACUUGCCAUCAGCCCUACUUUUCACACUUUUGGUGGUUAUCAUGGCUGUAAAUUAUUGAUUUCUACAAAUAAGAUAUACUCUAUCAACUGCUCAGUAGGUUGAGAAUUCAGUGUUUUUAUUCCACCUCCUCCACACCCUCCCACAUCUUGACUUUCUGUUGUUCUGUCUAGUCAUUUCAGUGGCUACAAGAGUAACCUUCCAGAAAGUACUGAAAACUCUAUCUGGGCCUCUGGACCUUAGCACUUCUGCUCCCCUGUGUGCGCUGGGUGCCCAGCAGACACCAUGCUCUGCCUCCAGCCUUUGGGCUUCUCUCAGCUGCACUGUCCCUCACUGUCGGGGUUAUGAUAUUUACAUUCGGUUUUCAUUUCCUCUAUGCAAUGAUUUUAGCCUCCGCUGUUUGCUUCCAGGAAGUUUUUGAAGUUUCUUGUCUGCUCGUCACACGUGUCUUGUGGUUUAGCAUUGGUACAAACCAGUGCUUCUGGGGUAUCUUUGUUAUUGUCUUGAUGGGCCUUGGAGAAUAAUAAUGGUAAAGGGAUGGAACUCAUGACCUUGUGCUUGCCAGGCAGGCACUGUGCUGCUGAGCUAUAUCCCUCACCCCUUUUCUUAAUUUUAGUAAGCUAUAAAUACAAUGGUAUCGGUGAGCUGCAUUGUAUUAGAAACAAAGAUUUCAGAAGUCAGCCAAAAUUAGCAUUUAUAUGUUGUCACUGUCAGCUCAAUAUAGUUCUUCCCACUUGCCAACUUUAUCUUGCUUCUAAAUAACAAAUAACGAUUUUAAUCGCUAUAAGUAGUAUUAUGUUUUUGUUCUCUGAUAAAUUCUAUUUAUAAACUUUGAGAGUAUAUUGGUGUUUGUAAAAGACCUGAGCUGGCUUAAAUGAAAAUAUAUGUGAAGUCACAACUCUAUCAGGGAACUGAUAUUGCUUGUAUCACAAACUAUUGGUGCUCCUUGUUCUCAUGUUCUAGUCCCAAGUACAGUUAAGUUGCUCAAAGAAUUAUUAAAAGUUUCAUAGAGUGCAUCUUUUUUAUUUAAAAAAAUGUCUUAGUAAAGUCUUGUGGUUGAUUAGCUUUGUUGAACUCAACCACACUGACCUGGCAAUUUCUGCUGAUUCUCUAUUAAAGACUUCUGGGGUGUGGGCCACGGGCAUAUCAUGGUUUUACUCAUUUUUUCCAUGAGUGACUCUCUGAAGAAGCCCUUGGAAGGCCUGAGAAACUCCUUUUUAAUCAUAACCUUUACGACUUCUCUUCCCUUUCUUGGUAUGCCAAUAUUAAAUGCACCAGGGAAACUUAUUUCAAUUACACUGGAUGGCUUCCCCUUCCAGUUCAUCAAAUUAUACACACGCACUUCCGAGGAAGUUAUCCAGCGUAAUUCUUAGUUCUGGGGAGCAAGAACAGGGUGCCAAUUACUUAAGAAGUGCUCAUUAGGAAUUAGAAAGCAAAUAUAAUUACCACAUGCCAAUUGCAUAGGAAAUAAGACUGUUUUCAACAAAGCCAGGCUUAUUUUAUGUGCCCCAUAUAGCACCCACAGGAUGUGUUCUUACCUGUUUCUCCCUCCCCCAAAUACUAAAUACAUAUAGGAGGUGAAGACUUAAGUAGGAAACAUAAUAGACUGAAAACUCCUUAUUUAACAUACUCAAUUAUAUUUCUAGCACCUAGCUGGGCUUAUAGUGGAAGGUCUAAACACACCUGUGGAGUCUUUGUAUACCUACAGUAGACAGGAAGUUAACUUUAUGUAGUAUGAGCUUUUUGUGUGUGGAUGCGCUCACGCACACACACACACACACACACACACACACACAGGGCUUUAAAGGCUUGAAUAUGCCAAAAUAGUACUUAAAUUUACAAAAAUUUUAGAGUUGAAAAUUACAGAUUCACAACUUCCAUCACCCAAUUUCACAGCAGAUAAAAACACCGACCCCUUUCUUAGGUGUAUGCCCUGUCUUCAUGUGGUCAUGCUGUUCUAAUUUCUUCCAUUGUGGAAGAAAAAUAUUGGUUGUAACUGCCCUAUAGGCAAAGACCACAUCGAGCAUUCCCCUUGUGUCCGCUCCAAGCUUCUCCCAUAUUUCCUCCCCAGCCCCACCCCAAAGUUGUCUAAAAAUGGUUCACAAUCUUGGGAACAACUAUUUUCUAGAUGGCUAUAGAGAAAACAGAAAUUGUAGAUCUUUUCAAUAACCGUCAUCUGCCACGUUUGACCUGAUUUAGGUAGUGUCAACUUAGGGUUUUUGGCACUGCUAACCCUCAGAGGCAUCUUUUCCAUUUUUAUAAUUUAGUUGCAUCCUCUUAAAGUACACAUAUUAUGUAGAAAUAUAUUUGGAAAGAAGUCUGAAUUUUUGAUACAUUAGAUGGAAAAAACAAAAGCAGUUUCUCACCGCCAGCUUUUCACAUUUCUUUCCUUGUUAGUCCAUACAAACAUUCAGUAAUAAGGAAAUGAUCCAGAAAUGGCCAAACCGGAGCUCGAGUCGUAUUUGUCACCUAGCAGGGGUUUGUUUUGUUCACUCAAGGUGGAAGGAGAAAACUCAGCCCCUUUCUUCCAUGGGGGCCCUUCUCUUGGUGCUUAAUUCUCAAGCUGAGGAAAGAAGCCCAUUUAUCUUUCGAAUCACAGGGAAGCAGACAGGAAUGAAGAAGCUUUUUUAACUGCGUCUCCCAAUACCCAGCCAUGAAAAUUCAACCAACAGUCACCCGGCCUCCCAGAGCCUCUCUGAAGCAGAGCUCCGCUGGAGCUGUUUGGUUCCAAAAGAGGCCACCACCACAGCUCCAGGCACACGCAGGAGGCGACCCAGCCGCGGAAUGGAUGGAGCAGGGCCCAGGCUGGCGAGGGUCGGCCCAGCCGGCUGUCUACUGUCACAGGCACCGUGCUACGAGUGGGAGACCCUGACCUAUACAUGGUUAACACACAAAUAAACUGGAGUAUUUUGUGACUUGAUCAUAUGUAAUUCAAAUUCCAGUUUUAAUAAAGUUUUAUCAGAACACAGCCGUA